rnacentral:tRNA from 2 species
GCGGGAAUGGCGGAAUGGGAGACGCACUAGACUUAGGAUCUAGCACCAGUUUGGUCUUGCGAGUUCGAGUCUCGCUUCCCGCA